rnacentral:rRNA from 1 species
AACGAACGCUGGCGGCAUGCCUAACACAUGCAAGUCGAACGAGACCUUCGGGUCUAGUGGCGCACGGGUGCGUAACGCGGGGGAACCUGCCCUUAGGUUCGGCAUAACUCCCCGAAAGGGGUGCUAAUACCGGCUCAUGUAUUCGGACCAAAGAGUGAUCGCCUUUGGAUGGGCCCGCGUUGGCUUGGCUAGUUGGUAGGGUAAAAGCCUACCAAGGCGACGAUCGAUAGCUGGUCUGAGAGGAUGAUCAGCCACACUGGGACUGAGACACGGCCCAGACUCCUACGGGAGGCAGCAGUGGGGAAUAUUGGACAAUGGGCGAAAGCCUGAUCCAGCAAUGCCGCGUGAGUGAUGAAGGCCUUAGGGUUGUAAAGCUCUUUUACCCGGGAUGAUAAUGACAGUACCGGGAGAAUAAGCUCCGGCUAACUCCGUG